rnacentral:rRNA from 1 species
UACGAAGGGGGCUAGCGUUGCUCGGAAUCACUGGGCGUAAAGGGUGCGUAGGCGGGUCUUUAAGUCAGGGGUGAAAUCCUGGAGCUCAACUCCAGAACUGCCUUUGAUACUGAGGAUCUUGAGUUCGGGAGAGGUGAGUGGAACUGCGAGUGUAGAGGUGAAAUCCGUAGAUAUUCGCAAGAACACCAGUGGCGAAGGCGGCUCACUGGCCCGAUACUGACGCUGAGGUGCGAAAGCGUGGGGAGCGAACAGG